AAAUAACUAAACAUUUAAAAAAAUAAUUUAAAAAAAUAAAAAAGGGACUUGAAAAAAAAAAAGCUCUCACUGUCGAGGGCUCGCUCUUCAGGAGCAGGGCUCUGAGCAUUGCACAUCCGUGUGGCAUUUAGUCCUUAUAACCAUCAGAUGGCUGAUGUGUCCAAGGCCAACCAGCUGGUCAUUGAAGAGCCACAAGUGACUCUGGAGCACCCGCUCUUGGCCACCUCUCUGCCCAGCUGAGUGUGGAAAUGAUGAUGAUGCCCUCCCCUGCCUGGGUGGUUAUGAGCAGUAAAUGGGCCUGGGUGGAAAGGUCCUUUGGAGAGGCUUCCAGAGAAGCUAUUAUUUGAUGGAGUGGAAGAGGAGGAAGUUGCUGUGUAAAGGGUAUGCGUGGAAGGCUCUUGGAAAGAGGAGCUCAGUUUAAACUCAAGGCAGUCACCGUUCUCAGGCCUGUGAGAACCAAGCAUGUGGAUUGUGGGGGUGCCAGGCUCUGGCCUCUUACCCUGGCGCUCCGGGGUCCUGGGGGCAGGCCGGGGCCAUCCCCACCCAUCCCCUGCACUCCUGGCCGGGAGCCCGGUCCUCGUGGCCUCUCCGGCCUGGCAGUGAGGCGGAGCGUAACGAAACCCUGGUGGCUUCCCCUGAUUUUUCCCGCUGAGGAUGGAGUGCAGAGCAGACCCGGAGGGGUCUAGAGCCGCGUUAGCGGCCAUUCAAGGCUUUCAGUUGCGCCGGGUCACUCGUUAGCUGCAUGGCCUUGGACAAAUGGAAAAUGGAAUUUCCAAAAUGAGGAUUCAAAUACCGACCACGCAGGGUUGUUGUAGGAUUACAUGAGAUAAUGUGCGUAAGGUGACUCAGAUGCAGUAAACCUUGCAUAAUGAUUAAUGCUAUCAUUAGGCAGCCGUCCUUCCUUAUUACAACAUGAGGGACAGGGACCCAGACGAGGGAUGGGGACCCAGAGAUUAGAAGCAAGUCAUUCAAGGCCUCGCAGCCAGUUCGCGGCAGGUCUGGGCUUCCUCUGCAAUCAUCUCCACCCCUGCCUUGGUCAAGCCUUUUCUGAGAAUCCCUCACCCAGGGGUGAAUUGACAGGGGUGCAUUUCACACCUGAACGAUGCCCCCUCGCUCGCUCGCUUGGGCAAUGGGAUUACAAAGCUGCAGGCUGUUACUGUUUCCCAGCUCUGCCACUGAUUUGCAAACCGGGAUGAUUUGGUUGAGCUCCUUUGGACUGAGGCUCUACCUGGCUUCCUGGGAGACGGGCCUCCUGUGGGAGACAGCUGGGCUCCAAGGGAUCAGCACAUCUCUCUCUCUCUCUCUCUCUCUCUCUCUCCCUCUCUCUCUCUCUCCCCUUCCUUGAGUGAGUUUAGCAUUCCAGAGCCCCCAGCCUGCAGCCGGAAUCAGUAUCCAGAUACCACCCACUCCCAGCUCUCCCGAAUGGACCCGGACUCAUCAACAUUUCUCUGACUUGGUGACACUUAGCCCCGCCUCUGAAAAGUGCACCCUGGGAUACAGAUCUUCUGUCCAGUUAAAGUGACUUAAAAGUAAUUCUUUUUGGAAAUCUUCACAGCCAUUCCAGAGAUCAUGACGGACACCUCGGCCCCGUGAAACAGAGCUGAGGAGUUCUGGCUCCCAGAAAGCUGUCUCUGACACCCCAAAGCCAGGCAUUGACUGACCAACAGUCUUUGCCCCCCGGGGCAAACCUUCCCGCUGGUGUCUCCGCCCCUCUGGAACCCCCGCUUCCUCCUUGUCCUCCUCCCACCCGGGAGGCCAUGGCUACGGUCAUUCCCCACUCCCCAGAGCCAGCUCUCCUUUGGCGUCCCUGUGCCCUGCUCCCAGAGCCACCCCAGGAGCAGGGGUGAGGUUAGAGACAUGGUAGCAUGGGACCCUGAAGGGGCCCCCUGCCUGCCAAGCCCAGCUGGGGCAUCCAUGGAGAGUCCACACGAAUGACCCCCAGCACUUAGGCAGCGGGCCUCCAAUGCUCCGGCUGUUCCAAACACUUACCAGAUGGUAAUCCAUGAGGCAGAUACUAUCAUUACUCCCCUUUAGAGAUGGGGAGAUUGAGACCCAGAGAGGCGAAGUAACUUGUCCAAUGCCACACAGCUUGAAACUGGCAGAUUUGAGAUUUGAGCCCAUCAUCUGGGCCAGUGUGCCACUGGAACACCGGAGACGGCCACCCCCUUACUUAAUUCCACUCACCCGUCACCUCUUCCCUCGGCCACUGACAGGUGCCUUCUGUCAUGUCUGCAGCCACAUCCUCGGGACACGGCUGUGUUCUCGCUGCAAGAAAGGACAAGUGCCCGGGGCGGAGGGCCCCAGGUUGAAGCCCCUCUGCCUGCUUUCCCUGCCCCGCAGGCCCAGUCUCCUCUCCACCUGGGAACCCUUCAGGGAUGCUAUGAUCUGAACGUUUGUGUCCCCCCGCCAAAUUCAUGUGUUGAAAGCUAACCCCCAAGGUGAUGGCAUUAGGAACUGGGACCUUUCGGAGGUGAUUAGGUCAUACACGGGUUUAGCGCCUUUAUAAAAAUGGCCCCAGAGAGAUCCCUCGCCCCGCUUCUAGCAUGUGAAGACACAACAAGAAAUCAGCAGCCUGCAACCCAGAGGACCCCCAGCCGGCCAUACUGCCACCCUGACCUUGGACUUCCAGCCUCCAGCCUCCAGAAAUGUGACAAAUAAAUUCUCGGGUUUAUAAGCCACUGACCUGGUCUGUGUCAUUUUGUUAUAGUGGCCCCAAAGGACUAAGAGAAGUGGCUUAGUGUGGCCACUUCGCUGCCAGGACGAUCUGAGGCAGCAGGUCUGGGGGCAGGUCUGGAAGCACUCUCAGCUCGGAGGGGCCGCCUGAGACCGUGGCCUGCAAACCUGCACCUGCUUCCGGGCUGAGGAUGUGAAUGGGACACCCAGAAGUGGGGGGCGGGAGGGGGUGAGGGAAGGAAUUGCCUCCAGCGCCGGCCCUACCUGUCUCCUUCUUCACCCCUCCUUUGCAUCAGCUGCUCUAGGAGCAGACCCUGCCCAGCCCCCUGCCACCUUCUCCUUGCCUUUUCUCCUCCAGCCCGGACCCUCUCUUUCAUCAACACACACAGCCUUGGUUCACUUCCAUCCAAUGAGGAAAUGCCCACAACACCGCUCGGCACAGGGCCCGGCAGGAAACUCUUUCUCCUCCUUCAGAACUCAGCAGAGGUGUCGCUUCAGGCAGUGAGGGGCCCCCACCCCGGCUGCCACAGUGCUCUGCUCACGCUUCUCAGAAAACUUUCCUAGAGGUUCUGAUGCUGUGGGUUUGGUGUCUCUAGACCCAGCUCCAAAGGGUGCACAGGUGUUCAGUAAGCAUUGAUUGAUUGAAGGAAUGAGUGGGAGCAGUUCCCAGGACUCCUAGAAGAACAUGGGCCAGGCUGGGCCAAGCUUGGGUUUCCCUUCCUACCUCUCCAGGCUAGUAAUACUUACCUCCAGGAGAAAACCAAAAGACAAGCAGGAGGUUUCUUGGAUAAAUACUUGGGAAUGGCAUCAGUGAAUCAUAAGUUUCUCCGUCCUGAAACACCCUAAUAAAGUCCUUACAUGUAAUGCAUCACUCUUGAGCAAUCUGAAGGACAUCACGGUGGAUCCCAAGCAACAUGUUGAUAUCCUCACGGAGCCAAGCUCGAGGGUGAGCCCUGUUCCCCACACAGGAGUGAUCGUCUGGCAGCAGAGGCUCAGGGUGAGGACGCCAUCUUGCCCUGGUUGCAAAGGACAUUGAGGUGAGGCUGCCUCAGCCUUCACUGUCCUGGCCUUCCUUUCCACGCCAUCCGUGCCCCGACUCCACCCGUAUUAGGUAAUAUUAUCCACGUUACACAAAUGAGGAAACUGAGGCUUCAGAGGUUUAUAACUUGGGCUCCAUCACCCGACUAGUGAGCGAGGGAGGCAAACUUCGAAUCCAGAUCUGACAGCUGGCUCCAUGCUCUCCACUGGAUCAUCCUGCCGCGGAAAGUCUACACCAGCCUGGGGAUUACAGCCUAGAACACCUCAUCUGGGCUGCUAACCUCAGAUAGAGAUCAAAGAGACAUUGUCAGGGGAGAAUGGCUUUUUGAGAUCAGAGCCUCUUAUCAGCUGAAUUGUAUUUCACCCCCCUUCCCCAAAUUCAUAUGUUGAAGUCCUAAUGUGACUGAAUUUGGAGACAGGGUCUUUAAAGAGCUAAUUAAGUUAAAACGAGGUCAUCUGGGCCCUAAUCCCAUGUGACCGGUAUCCUUAUAAGAAGAGAUCAGAACACAGCCACAGGGAAGGCCAUGUGAAGACACAGAGAGAAGGCAGCCAUAGGGAAAACCAAGGGGAGAGCCUUCAAAACUCCUGAAGACACCUUGAUCUUGGGCAUCUCUCUCCAGAACUGUGAGAAAAUAAAUAUCUGUGUUUAAGCCAUCCGGUCGGUUAUGGCAGCCCUUCAAAUUAAUUCAGAGCCCCUUUUAAAAAUCAUCUUUGGGGGCGCCUGGGUGGCGCAGUCGGUUAAGCGUCCGACUUCA